UUACUUAUUAUAUUUUAAUUCAUUAUUAUUAUUAUUUUUUUAACGCUUAGGAUACUUACUAAAUGGAUGAUUUAUAAGAAGGAUGUUGUUGACUAAGGGCAAAAUUUUUUACUUACAGUGAGCAUGAAACUUUUAAAUGGGAAAGGUUUAUAUUCAUUUUCAUUUUUUAAAAGAGUAUCUGCCCCUGUAAGAUGAUAUCAUAGUGUUUGAAACACUGUUGAGACUGAUGUCACCAGAAAUUCCCAAUGCAUUGAUUUCCAUGAGAUUUUUUUUCACCCUGUGAUUGUACUGCAACAAGUGAGCAUUGUUGAAGUGCUGGGAUUCAACCAGUGCUUGGAUUUGGAAUGGUAUACCCCUUUCAAAUGGGAAAAUCAUCUGUCCUCCUGUCCCCAGUUAUUAUUCAGGUUUGAAUUGC